UCGAGAAUUUUUCUCAAUGGGCGAAAGCCUGAAGGAGCGACGCCGCGUGGAGGAUGAAGGUCUUCGGAUUGUAAACUCCUGUCAUUAGGGAACAAACCUUCCAGUUAACUGCUGGAAAGCUGAUAGUACCUGAAGAGGAAGAGACGGCUAACUCUGUGCCAGCAGCCGCGGUAAUACAGAGGUCUCAACCGUUGUUCGGAUUUAUUGGGCGUAAAGGGUGCGUAGGCGGCGGGAUAAGUCAGGUGUGAAAUCUCGGGGCUCAACCCCGAAACUGCACUUGAUACUGCCUUGCUCGAGUACUGGAGAGGAGACUGGAAUUUACGGUGUAGCAGUGAAAUGCGUAGAUAUCGUAAGGAAGACCAGUAGCGAAGGCGAGUCUCUGGACAGUUACUGACGCUGAGGCACGAAGGCCAGGGGAGCAAACGG
rnacentral:rRNA from 1 species